rnacentral:rRNA from 1 species
UACGUAGGUAGCGAGCGUUGUUCGGAGUUACUGGGCGUAAAGGGUGUGUAGGCGGUCGUUUAAGUUUGGUGUGAAAUCUCCCGGCUCAACUGGGAGGGUGCGCCGAAUACUGAACGGCUUCGAGUGCGGGAGAGGAGAGAGGAAUUCCUGGUGUAGCGGUGAAAUGCGUAGAUAUCAGGAGGAACACCGGUGGUGUAGACGGCUCUCUGGACCGUAACUGACGCUGAGACGCGAAAGCGUGGGUAGCAAACAGG